rnacentral:lncRNA from 1 species
UACAAUGUACACAAACUGAGCCACCACAAUGAUCCACCAAGAUAAACUCAACACAAGACCUGCUCCUAGUAAGCCCCAGUUCCAUUUGAAGACUGCAAGCCAGGUGAGCAAAACAUGCACCACAAGUGCACCUAGUGAUAUGUACGCACUAGGUGCGAUUAUGCUUUGUGCUUGCAAGAAUUUUUGAAUAGGAAAGUUGGCAGCAUAAGCGAAAAUUUGAGGGAUGAGUCCAAAGACAAAAACUGCAGCUGCUGAUGCUAUAUUGACUGGCUCCCCAAGUAAGAUCAAGAUAGGUUUGGAAAAUAUAUAGAUCAUCAUUAAGGGGAUCCCAGCUGCCAUGAGGAGAACAGUUGAUCUUUGGAGGUAUAUGCCUAGCAUUUCAUGUCUAUUUGCUCCAUAUGCUUGGCCACACAGAGUUUCUACUGCACUUCCCAUACCAAGCUGCAACAAGAAAAAAACUUAUUUAGCAAAAGUAGAGGAGAAUUCUCCACUUGAUAUAGAAAGAAAAAACAAGAAGUAUAAAGAAAGACAAACCGAUGGAGGAUUAUGCAUGAAGUUCUUUACACUACUUCCAAAUAUCCUAACUAAAGCUUAAAAGGGUAAAAAGGAAAGGAAUAAACAAAAGAGAGAGAAGAGAAGAAAAGAGAAUGAUCAUGACCAUUCAUUACAUGUGCAAGAGCAGAUAGAGAUCAGGAGGUAUUAAUUACCAUAAGGCCAUAGGCAAAAACUUGGAUGCCAGUGUUACCAAGAGAGACAGCAGCAAGCUCAAGAUUUCCAAGGUGACCGCAAAAGAUCUGAGUAGACAUGGAAACAACGUUAUUGAGCAAGUAAACUAUCACAGCUGGAGCUGCAAGGUGGAAAAGCAAUUUCAGUUCAACCCAAGAAGCUGAACGGAUUCUCUUAGAGUAUGGUGCUUCAGUAUCUGUUAGUAUUUGUUCAAGCUCAUCGCUCACUGUCUCAUGAUCAUCAUGGACAGAGAGUUUAAAGCUUAAUCUCGGAGGAUCAGUCUCCAUUUCCCUCCUCUUUUGCGCUUGUGAUUUGAGCUUCUAUAUCAAAUAAAUGUUUUGUCUUGAUGUACAUAACAGAUACUACUUAUAUGCUAAAGUUUAUAUCGACGAAGCUACUUGUAAAUUCUUGGAUUCCUCCUUUCCACAUUAUGUAGUCAACAUGGUACAAAGACAACUGCAUUCAUGAAGUCAAAUGUGAAAUCAGUGUGGUUAAUUUAAUUGGUAUCCUUGCUACGUCUCCAUCAUUACAUCAUUUAUUUUGUCGAAUGUGCUUCACGUUGUUGUGGGCUGCGUGUGAAAAAUGAAAAGAAAAGUUUUGUAAAGUAUAAAACAUGUGAGAGGUCCAUCGCGUGCAUGCACUAGGGUUACAAAAUGCACAAUUUAAAAAAAUAAUAAAUAAUAUGAGACUGCCAAAUAGCAGUUUAUCUUUUGUAACUGACAAUUAAUGUAUUCUUAUUACCUCUUUUUUUUUUUCAAAUUUAAUGUGAAAGUCUUGCGCAAAAGUCAUCCACUACUCAUUUAACAGCGAUGCUAGUGCGGUGCUGCCAGAUCAUUUUCCUUUUCUCUAUAGGCAGCAAUGGACAUGAUGAUUAUGAUUCUUGUUUUGUUUUGGUAUACGUAUGUUCUCAUUGGCUUUUUCGAUUUGGGUUUUGGUGACGAUCGAGCACUGAUGCCAGGGCAGUUUUCUUGUUCUCUUUUACUUCUCUAAUCAUAUGCUUUCCUCUUGAAUCGUCAUCAGCAUCCAUUGCUGCCUCCACAAAAAACAAAAAUAGUAAAAUUUUGAGCUAAUCCAAGUCUCACAAGCUGAACUCAAACACAACAUUAGACACCAAAUCCAUAAUUAAAAAACAAAUACAUAGUGGAUUUUGUGGUUUGCGGUGGGUUCAAUCAUUGGUAUCAAAGAACAAUCAUAGAUCUAUCAAAACCAGUUUCAAAUUAAUGGUAAUAAGUUUGAUCUAUUCAAUUAAACAAUUGCCUUCAUAGUCUCACUGAUCGGUGGUGAUUAGCAAGGAAACUAUGAUUGAUUUGUAGGUAUUUAAUAAGAUUUGGUUUCGGAAUUUAAUUUCUUUAAGUCAAAACGUCCAAUAAAAAAUUAGCUAGGAGACAGACAAAUCAAAAACUUGCUGAGGCAAAAGGGUUGGGGAUAAAUUAGUACGAUAGGAUAGGUCAAGGACUAAUCUGUUAGUGAUUUUACAUGUUGGGGACUGAUUUGUAUUUUUCUCUAUUUCUAUAGCAUGCAACAUAAGAGUUGUUCAGAAACAGGAUAAUAUUAUAAUUUUUCUGAAAAUUGAAGUUGGAAAAAGAAAAACUAGAAUUUUAUGUUCAAAUGCAUUAUUUCUCUAUCUAGAAAACUAGAAAAAUAGUUUUUUUUUUUUUCUAAAGCUGUAUUGAAUUUAAAAAACACAAGUUCUAGACGUUUUCCAAUAUAAGUUUUUCAUUUUUUUCAAAAUGAAGAAAAAAUAUGAACAAUACAAUUUUUUUUUCUUUUAUAUACAAGCAUUUUUAGCAAUAUAAAAUAUUACCAUGAUAAUUAUAAAUCAUGGGUUAGAUUUUCUUAUGAAAAAUAGUUGUAUUCAUGAUAUAAAGAAAAAUCCAUAAAAAAGAAAAAGAAAAACUAUUUUCUGUUACUAAACACAUAUAUAUUAUCUCGUUCUCGAAAUCACACAAAGACUUGUUUUUUUUUUUUUUAUUUAACACCAUAAAAGACUAGUCAAGAGUUUAAGGACCAGUUCCUCAAUUUCGAUUUUCGAAAUUUAUUUUAAAAUCAUCAUAAGUCAAGAGUUGGGGAUGGGGAUUUGACAUAUAAUUAAAAUCUGCGAAGAACAUUCAGCUACAAUUCGGAGUUUAAUUUUCACGCAGAAAUUUCAAGUUCAAACUUGGAAGCCGUCCCUCGUGAGAGGAAAAAAGAACAUAGAAAUUGGAGAAUGGUCCUACUUAAUUAUAUAUGGUGUCCAAGAAUCAUUGAAAUCGAACGUUCUAGUAAGCAAGCAAAAAUUCUGAAACACAAAAUCCUAGACGUGAAUUAUUAGAUUUAUUUUGUCCUGGCCACUGCAUGGUCAGUAAAUGAUUUGUGGUCUAGAAAAUACAGUGGUUUGUGGUCAAGAACUUGCUUUUGGACUAAAUGAUACACUUCUCUUUUAGGUUUCUCUUCCUCCAAUAUCUUGAUUGGUUCCAGCUGCUUUCGAUCCUUGUCAUGUUUUGAAGAAGACGAUACGUGUGUCUGCAGCCAUUUUCUUGAUCCCAUCAUUUGGAAAAUUAAUGGAUACUAUAAAAAGUCUUAGUCAUUGAGUAAUUAUAGGCAUAAAUAUUGCUAAAUCAAUUAAAAUCUAACCCUUUCAUGUUCACCAUCUCUAUCCAUAUGACAUACAUAUUUAGAUUUUUCUACUUAUCAUAAUGACAUAAAAUUAUUAUAAAAUUCAACUCUAAUCUUCUUCUUUCUCUCUGAUUAAAUUAAUAAAGUAUUAAUUUAUAAGCUUAUACAAGUCUUAAACUAAAUGAUUUCUCUCGAGAUUUAGACUUUUCUGAUAAUUUAAGAUGACGACUCUUCAAUAUAUCUAACGGAUAGACAUGCAUAUCUAUACAAUUUAUCUAUAAAAUAUUCAUGAUUGCAUGCUUGUUAAUUAAAUGAUUGUUUAUAAUUUAAGAUGGCUCUUCAAUAUAUAAAUCUAACGGAUAGACAUGCAUAUCUACACAAUCUAUCUAUAAAAUGUUCAUGAUUGCAUGCUUGUUAACUAAAUGGUUGUUCAGAAGUGUGAUAAUUUUUAAUUUUUAAGGAUGGUUUGUAGAAGUGUAUUUUAUUUAAAAAAUAUUAAAUUAAUUUUUUUUAUACUUUUAAAUAAUUUUAAUAUGUUUCAAUCAAAAACAUAUCUAAAACAAAAAAUAUUUUACAAUUAAAUAUCAAAAACACAUUAAACCUUGCGAAUCACAUAAUCUCAAAUUUGGUGUGUCACCAAAUUAUAGAGAUCCGACAGAUGUAAAUCAUAGACUCCUCCGUGAUUGCAUUAUUUAGUUCAAAAAUCAUCUAUUAUUACAAAAGGAAAAGUCUUGUCUGUAGAAGUCCUCUCCCUAGACAUCACAAUUCCAAUUAGAACACCACUACUUUCGAUUCUCUUGAGUUGUAAGAAUUAUUCCUCCAACAUCAUUCAUGAGUGAGAUAGCAUUCUCAUCAUCACAAAUUAUUCCUUCCUAUCCAUCAUCAACCCCAGAGACUGAACUGGAAGGACAAAAAUCAAUGUCUUCUGCACAUGAUGAGUCCAAAAACCGCAGUCCCACUCAUCACAAAGUCUACUUUAAUUACUCCACAAGAAGAGGCUGCCCUUUUUCAUCCCAUGAACUCAACCGGUUUUUGGCACUCUCCACCUGUAAAUUUCGACACAAAUUUAUAAUGUUACUGGUCAUUUUACGGAUAAUAUGAUAUGAAAACAAAAUCAUUCACAUUUAAUUUAUAUAUACAUAGUAGUAAUUUUUUAUAAAGGGUAAGGGUGAUAUAAGCUCGGUGUUUUAUGAUUGCAGUAAUUUUUAAAGUAAUUUUAGUUGAAAUUACAUAAGCGAUAUUUUUUUAUUUUAAGAAAUUAUUUUUAAUAUUUAAACAAUAUUCCAAACCACGCUUAAGAAAGCAUGGCAUAUCCAUUACAUGCAUGGAUGUCAGACAUUGGAAACAUAAAAAAGCAUUGGGACGUGUAUUGAGAGCAGAUUGUGUUCAAUAAUUGAAAAAGAGAUGAUUGCAUUCAAUUGCGGUUGGCCUACAAUAAUUACUGUGGCUGUGGCCAAAGUGAUUUAUAUGGACAUGACCAAUCUCUUCUAGAUGGUGAUUUGUGAUGAUGCGAUUAUCCCAGGAAAAUUCAAGUAAGAAUUGGAAGCUGGAGCUCACUAACAAGUUAAUUUCUUCAACUCCCCUGGUUUAAAAUCACAGUUAUUAACCCGACCGCUAUAGUUAUUGAAAGAUUGUCUGGGAGGAUAAUAGAUUUUUACUAAAAAUAUGUUAAAAUGAUAUUUUUUAUAUUUUUUUUAAAUUUAUUUUUGACAUUAAUAAAACAACAAAAAUUAAAAAAACAACAAUUCAACCGUUGCAUCAAACAAGAUCUAAAUUUGAUCAAUCAAGCGAUUAAAUCUGUGACUAGAUCAACCCAGAUUCUAGCCUUGAUAGGAUUUAAAAAAAUAUUCAACUUGGAAAUGACCCGAUCGACCUAGAUCAAAACAAUAUUUUAUUUUUAUAAAAAAAUUCUUCCAAACAACAUUAUUUGAUAUUUUUAAAAAAAUUGAAAGAAGGUGAAUUUUUAUUAAUUUGAAUUAACUCAUCUAACCAAUUACCACUUGAGUCUUAGACUAGGUUGGAAACCAGCAAGGUUUAAUAACUUUGGUUAAGCUACAAAGAUAUCCAGUUACUUGGGUCUUGGACUAGGUCGGGAAUCCAGGCAGUUUAAUAACUUCGGUUAAGCUGCAAAGAUAUUGACUCUGAAUUAGACUAAAUGUCUAAUAUCCUAUCGAAAGUUUAUAUGCUGUGAUCGGAAGAUCCUUUUUAAAGUUGGAACAAAAUGAUUUUGUUUAAUUACUAUUGCCCAAAGUGAUGAAAAUGAGAAUUGAGUUUUUACCUCUUUAUCCCAAUCUGUUCUCAAAGUAACCCACACCAAGAUUAUAGUUUGCAAAACGGUCCCUCCUAACAUGCCUGACCAUAUUCCCUGCAAAAUAAAUACAUUAGAUACCUUAAAUUAUGCUUCGAACAUUUUGUUCUCUACGUUCACUGUGCUAGCACUUCAAAUAACAUUGAAGGAUGGGCUCUGUGCUUAGGGUUUCCUUUUAAUCAUCAGAGCCUAUAGAACAUGAUUAAAAAUCAGUAUCUUUAAAGGUGGGGCAUGCACUAAAUGAUGAUAUAUAUACACUACGAAUGAUAAACAAUGAUUAGUGGAGCUAAAGUAGACAUACUUUACAACUAUCAAAUGAAUUAACUCGUAAGUUUAGCAUCUAACUCUUUUUACCUGGCAGAAUAUGUAAAUUUGAUCUCUACAUGGAAAAAUAAAGUGUUUUUUUUUAAGCAUUGCUAGAGCUUUUGUGGUUGCGGGUUUAAGAAAAAUAGAUUUUAAAAAAAUACUUAUAGUCCGGUUUUAAAAAAUAUAUUUAGUUGAAAUUGUUUUGGAAUAGAUUUUGCAUGCAAAAUAAAUAAAAAACAGGUAUUCAUGAAUGAAAAGUAGUUAUCUUAGCUUCUACAAAACACAGUUUGAAACAUAAUUAUACAUGGAGCAUGGUGCAAAAAAGCAUAAGCUAGUCAAGUAAAGGCAGUGAUCCUACCUUGGCACCAAGGUCAAAUGUAAAACCAAGAACCACUCCUACUGGAACUCCAAUAAGGUAGUAGCAUCCUACAUUCACAUAUGCAACAAAUGCUUGCCAUCCACAUCCGACAGCCACACCUUCAACACAAAGAAAUUUCAGUAAUUUUGUAACCGAAGAUCCAUUGCACCUAUUGUUAAAGAAAAAUAAACAAAUACUUGGUAAAGAUCUUACCGGACAGGACAGGCUGAAUGCCAUUUAGUAUGAGAGUAGCAGCAAGGAAUGGGGAGAGAUCAGAGGCAGCUUUAGCAACAACUUCACCUUCAGUGAAGAUAUAGCUAAUGGAGUCUCGAAAUAUCAGCACAAUAAUGGCUGCGAUUACUGAAAUUAUAAAUGAGCAUGAAGUCACUACAAGGACUGAAAAUGAUGCUGAUUUUGGAUGUCCUGCUCCUAGCUCAUUGCUCACUCUCACACUGUUUAAGACCAAGUAUAUGUUAAUUGCCUGCAAUGCUAUAUGCUACAGCAAAAUGAAAGCGUUUUUCCUUGAUCUCUUUCAUAACAAAAACUGACCUUGCAGCAGCAUUAAAUCCAACUGAAAUCAUAAACACCCAUCCUGAUAAUGUCAUGCUGCAAAUAGAGAGAAGUAGAUUGUGUUAACAAGUCAGUCAAUAAACGUACAAGAAGCAACAAUGCCUUUACUUUUCUUGAGGCGGGCAAGACAUGGAAAAUACGAAAGAAACAAGUCUAGUUAAUUGCUUACCAAACUGACAGAGCAUCCAAUGCAACCUCAGCAUUUUUAAGCAACCCAGCAAUCAAUACUAAAAUCUGAUAGUACCAAGUCUCCAAACACAACAUUACUGCUGAUGCAGCAGACAGUUUGAAGAAGCUCCAAAGCCCACUAAAGGCCUCCAUACUGAAACCUUGCCAUGUCUUUCUACAGCUCUUACUCGUUAAAAUGUACACAAACUGACCCCCCACAAUGAUCCACCAUGAUAAACUCAAGACAAGGCCAGCACCUAGCAAGCCCCAGUUCCAUUUGAAGAUUGCGAGCCAGGAGAGCAAAACAUGAACCACAAGGGCACCCAAUGAUAUAUAUGCACUAGGGGCAAUUAUGCUUUGGGCUUGCAAAAAUUUUUGAAUAGGAAAAUUGGCAGCAUAAGCAAAAAUUUGAGGG